AGUUAUCAUUAGUGCUCAUCACUGUGGCAGGAACGUUUGGGAUUGUCAACCUAGAGCCGAGGAACAAACCCAGAGGUGGUGUGUGGCUUGCCCAGCUGUGUGGCACACUGUGGCAGAUUGGACUACAGCCUUCCUUGUCUGGGACCUCUCUGCUCUCUUCAACGGUGGAGGGUGUGGGACAUGGAAGAAACUGGGGUUACCUGAGGCAGAAUGGUAACAGGUGAGAUGGAUGGAACUGGCUGCUGAGUGUUGGAGACCCAUGGGUAAGAAAUUAGGGUGGAUGGGGUGUCUGUGUCAAAUGGUGGUUGCAUAGUAACCUCUCUCUGGUGCUUUCUGAGUGCUAACACACAUGCUUCUACACACACUUCUGGGAACAUACCUAUGUGUGCACACGCACACACACACACACACACACACACACACACACACACACACACACACACAUAGCAGCAGCAGCAGCAGCAGCCGCCGCCGCCGCUGCCACUGCCCCAGUUUAUCUCUACACUGCUUUAUUUUAUUGAUGGAGGAACAGGGUGGAGUGAGUGUGGGGACCCUAAGCCCAGGAUUCUAUAGAUGGGACCAGAACCAGAAAUUAGAUCCUUCUGGGCUCCCAUCCUAUGGCUGGGUGGCUCACUCUUCCCCAGGGGGCAGCCCUUCCCUGCUGUUCAGACCUUCUGUGGACUUUCAGGGGACCCUUUAUCCUUCAGGUCUCCAUGGUACCCUUGGAUGACCAGGGAGCUUAUAUGGGCACUAAGAGAACAGGGCUGGAGCUGACCUGGCCCAGAGCUCCUGGAGGACUGAUUGUGUGGCUCUGGAUAAGCCCUCCACCUCUCUGGUCCCAGCUUUCUUUCCAAAUGAGAAGUAGAGUUCCACAGAGUUCCCACUUCUCCAUUUGCUCACAGACUCAGUAUCCACCACAUCUGCUUCCCAGAUGCUGGGAAUUCCUUGGGUGUGGAGGGCACCAGGAUGCAGGAGAGUGAGACAGGGCAUAGAUUGUUGACACAGCAUCCGACCUCUGGGGGGAGGGCAGAAGGACUCAGUGGCUUCCCUGCAGGGCUAUGACUAAGCAUAAGAUGUGGGAUCAGGGGCUGGGUGUUCCAGGCAACUGGAGCAGCCAGUGCAAAGGUCCUGUGGCUGGAAAGCACCAUGUGACUCUGAGGCAUGGGAAAGGAAGGCUGAAGGACUGGAGGGCAGAGCAAUGGUAUGGGACAGCCUUGUGACUGCUCUUCAGGUGCCCAUCCUUAUCCUGGGAAUGGGAACCAGAGAAAGGCUACCAAAGGAAAAUGAGGCUGGGGUCUGUGCUGCUGUGGAUAACCCACUGUCUCCUCAGCAACCACUUCAUAUCUAGUAGCCAACCCUGCUAGCUUCUCAGUGAGCCAAAGGGGCCUGUGGACAACAGUAGAAACACUAAUGGCCGUGCCCAGAGUGUGGAGGUGGGGAGACUGUAGGAGACAUGAAUAUGUGGGAAGUGAGCUGUGAGUAGGACUCUCUAGUCUAGGUACAAUGUCCCCCAGUGCAGUUUGGACUGGCUCCCAUGGUGGCCCUGCUGACACCAGCCUCAAGGAAGCCAGGACAGUUGCUUAGUCUAACUGAGAGUUGACCUGGUUAGAAGCAUCACUUCAUCCUGGUUCUCCUAAAACCUUCCCCCCUGGGCCCUUCAAGGAAAUGUGAGGAAACUCCAUUAUGCAGAUGGUCAGAUAGGGGCUCAUGGAGAUCAGGGCAUUCAAGUCUGCCCAGCAUAGUUAGAUGUGGGCUGAGUGAGGAGUCCCACACUUCUCCAUACUAUAGAUCUAGGAGAGGUUUGGCUCCUUCAGAUGUUCUGCAAGUGGCCUUGGGGAGCAGAGAGGAACAGAGAGGCAGGAGGAGGACCAGAGCUGGGUCUUCUGCACUGGUUGCUCACAAGAGCUGAGCUGGGUGAUACUGAUGGAGCCUCACUGGUUUCUUUGUCUCUACCAGGUCUCAUAUGCCUUCCCUAGAGCUGGCUGGGAAUUCCUUGUGAGAACUGUGUAGAGCUGGUUCACAUGGACACACUGUUCUGCUCCCCCCUUGACCCAGUCUUUCCCUCUUACAGUCUGGGAGUCUGAGGCCAAGCAGGGGCUACUUCCCUUGAGUCACAUCAAAGCUAAGGAUAGGGGUAUAGGGUCUACUCUAUGAGGGAACCCAAGCAUCCCAUAAGGCCACCUUGCUUGAAGCUCAUCUUUACUAACCAUUGCUCUCCAAGAAGAUCUGCACCAGUGAGGUAAGGGCAGGACAGCCUGUUUGAGUGCAGGCUGCUGUCACCAUCAGCAGGCAGCCCAGGAGGCAUGAGUGAGCCAUGUGUAUACAUAUGGUAUAUAAUAGGUACUCAGAAAAAUUCAUCUCAUGUCUCCAUCUCCACUCUGCCAAAGAAACAUCUUGGAUUCAUGUGGCAGCUGGUCUUUGAUUUCAAACCAAAUGAGAUCUAACCCAAAGUUAACACUGGCUUUGUGUUUCAGCAUCAAUUAAGUACCUACUGUAUGCCUAAUGGUACGGGCAUUGUCUUCUGGAAGUAGGGCUUAUAAAUGACUAGGUAACAAAGAAGGAAAGGAGGGAGUCUGGAAUUCCAGAGGAGGUGCUGAGGGUGCCUCUGUCCAGGAGUAGGGAGAGUUUCUCUCUUCCCUCUCCUACGGCACUUUAAGCACACAGAGACUACCUAGAGCUGGGAACUAUCUCUUCCAUGGCUUGAUGGGAGCUCUCAGCUGCCCCACAGAAGAACCCAUAUGUCAUCCCCCAAGAAGCAUCUAGCCCCAACUCGAUUCCCAGAACAGUGCUGGCUGGAGGCCAUACAGGUUCACUCUAGAGAAACAGCAUUGGUGUGUGCAGAGCUCAGCUCAAAUCUGGACUCUGCCAUGCAUUGGCUCUAUGGUGCUGGGCAAGUCACUCUACCUGUCUGAGCCCCAUUUCUUUAUCAGUUGUGCGAAGGAACAUCCGUCUUAGAGUCUAUCCUGGGAAUGAACUGAGACUAGAACUAGAAUAUUGUCCCUGCUAGAUAUGGCAUGCACAGCCUUCUCUGGGACACACAGGUCCCGUGCUGCAUGGCAGGACUUAGAGGCAGUCUUGCCCAGUGGGACCCCGGAGUUGCUUGUACAGUUCCCGAGAGCCAGUAGUACCUGCCUGUGACUUCACGAGAGCUUAGACCCUGUUCAGGUGGGGAGCAAGGCCCACAAAGGUGACACCUAGGUACCAGUGGCGUGUGGCAACUGGGCUUGGCCUCCAUAUUCUCGACUGGUUCCUUCCAUUUACUCCAGCUUUGGGCUUUGAUAGCAGCUGGGGGACCUCCUGCCUUGCUUCUUGAUGGUUGACACUCCAUCCAAGACUUUCAGGUGACACUGGUGAAGGACUGCCCUAAGUUAGCCAGUGAAGGCCUCUCUCUUUCUCUUCUCUCCACAUUCCCCGAUUUGUCCCUGAGCCCAAAGCCUCUGCCUUUUCCUCUUGCUUCUAGAGCACUGAGGGUCCCUUAUUUAAAUUCCCCAGUGUCCCCACAACAUGAGAUACCCAUCGUCUUGGUCUCUCCAUGCCUUGUUCCCUUUCCUAUGGUUCACAAGCCUUCUGGCCCUGGAGUGGGUUCUAAUCCAGAGCCUUCCUCUCUGGCAUUGGCCGUAGCUGCCUCUUGGAGCAAGGUGUAACAGGGAGAUGGUGUUCUCUGUAAGGCAAGGUGGCACCAUGAGUUCUGUGCCUUGGCUGUAGACCACUGUCUUUCCCUGUUUUACCUUCUGUAAAAUGGAGGGGAGGGGCUUGCAAGAUGGUUGAGUGGUAAAGGCAUUUGGUGAUAAACAUAAUGAACUGAGUUCAACUCCUGGGAGCCACAUGGUGGAAGGAAGGAGCCAACUCCUGCAGGUUGUCCUUGCCCCCCUCAAGAAAUGAUAAAUAAUAAAUAAAUAAAUAAAUAAAUAAAUAAAUAAAUAAAUAAAUGAAUAAAUAAAUGUGUUGUAAUAAAGACAUUUAAAAUGGGGGCAAGGAGUCCUAUUUUGUGGAGCUGCACAGAGAUCUUGAGACAUCUGCGGCUGGGUUUGGGGUGGAGAGCACACUGAAGAGCUGCUGGGCUACUCUGAAGGGCAAGGCUGUAGUCUACAGAUAAUUUAAGAUGCGUUUUGGGAAAACACAUACACAUACACGCCACACACCACACACACACACACACACACACACACACACAGACACACACAUACACACACACACCACCACCACCACCACCACCACCACCACCACCACCACCACCACCACCACCACCACGGGAAUGUCAUUUACAGUCAGCUCCCAUGCAGGGCUCUCACUCCUUGCCUGCUCUGCUAAAAAUAGCAAUUUACAAAGGGCACGACUACUCCGCCUACCCAAGGUGGCUACAGGGGUUAAGACUGAAUCUCCUUCCAUGAAGCCAAACCCAUCUUCUUGAUAUGCCCCAGAGCCUUGGCUUUCCUCACCCUGGCUGUGACCAUGGCCAUGGAGGAGUUGAGAGAGGCUAGGGAGAAGCCUGGCCUGCACCCCUGGGGCUUACACUCUGAGUGUCCUUCAGACACUGGUAAUGACAGCAGUGUGGAUGAGGCUGCCACUCCGAGGCACUAUCUGCAGAGCGCUGGUGACAGCUCAGAGGGCAUCAGGUAGAGUGAACACAUGGCGUCCUCAAGAGUGGCAGGGGAAGGAAGAUUGAUGCACACUGAUAGACAUGGGUGCUCCAGAGGAAAGACCAGGUAUCCUCAGUAGUCUAUUUGUGGCUCCAAGGCUCCAAGACUUGCUUUGUGAUGUGGUAGUUGGAUGGGGGCUGAGGGGAUGGUCACUGUCAUGGCCAGGGCCCCAGGUUCUAUCCCCAGCUUUCUUUGGCUGAUUGGCAGCAUAAAAAACCAAGACCAAAUCCACCAAUAAACAAGGCCCGCAGUGGAUGAUAAUGUUAUGUGGUCAUACACACUGGAAGAGGGGGAGGCAUGACCAGCGGCAGGUAUAGAAGGAAGGUGUGUGGAGCUGGGGUAGCAUUCACAGAAGGCACCUAGAGAGGGUGCCAUUCCACAGCAGAAUCUCUAAACAUCUUUACAGCCUACGGGGAAUUAGUCUUGUGACAAUUUAUGUCCCCCCCAAUCCUUGGUUUCCAGGGUACUGGUACUAGAUGAUGACAGACCACUUAGCACAGUGGUUCUCAACCUUCCUAAGGCUGUGACCCUUUAAUAUAGUUUCUCAUGCUGUGGUGACCCCAACCAUAAAAUUAUUUUUGCAGUUACUUCAUAACUAUAAUUUUGCUACUGUUAUGAAUCAUAAUGAAAACAUCUGUGUUUUCCCACGAUUUUAGGCAACUCAUGUGGAAAGGUCAUUAGAUCCACAGAAGGGUCUUGACUCACAGGUUGAGAACCAUUGACUCAGGUGGUAGGGGCUUGUGGGAGGUCCUUCAGGGCUUGCCCUUGGGGGGGAUGUGCCCCUACCCACUUUCUUUGGUUGACUGGCAGUGAAGUAAAGGUUUUAUUUAGCCAUCACGGGUUUUCACUGAGAUGUGCCACCUCACCACAGGCACUCCAUCAUGGGUUGAAACCUCCAAACCCAUGAGCCCCGUUCAUGGCUACCUCAUAAGGCGAUUGCAGGAAACAUUUUGUUAUAGUGACAGAAAUCUGAGUGUGGCUGGCCUUCUGUGUCCUUGGAUCCCCAUACCUCAGAUCCCACCAAACACAAUUGGGAAUAGCUUAAGAAGUGCAUCUGUGCUGGGAAAUGUUUACACGACAGAUGGAUGUCUUAGGUGUUAUAAGUCAUAAUAGAAUCUAUCUGAAGUAUGUGGGGAGGGUGUGUGUAGGUUCCACGAGGUCCCUACCACUAGCCACACUUUCCACUGUGGCUUCAGCAGCCUUGGGGGUCCCAGGGCCCUCCCUUCUCAGAUCUCCGAGAUCUGAGCAUGGAUCUUGCCUAGCAUGGUAUAGUAAGCAGACCGAUGGAACAACAUGCUGUCCAUCCCUUGGGAAACUUGGCUGAGACCCCGGCUGGAGGGUGGGCUUCUUGGAACUGAUUUAGGCUGUGGAGAGAUUUUCAGAGGCUAGAAAGAGCAGUAGGGUCACCUAAAGGCUGUGUGUGUGUGUGUGUGUGUGUGUGUGUAUGUAUGAGUGUGUGUGUGUGUGUGUGUGUAUGUAUGAGUGUGUGUGUGUGUGUGUGUGUGUGUGUGUGUGUGUGUGUGGUGACUCUGGGAGUGAGGGCAGUAUGGGGUCACCCGGCAUAGUCUUCCUCCCUAGCUUCAGGUCUUGGCUAUCUCUGCACUCAGGGAUAGCAGCUCCCUAUAAGGCUUUUCUAACUAAGCACCACCCCAGCGUCCUGACCUCAAUGACUAACACACAUUCUUGGCCUAGUUAGAAAGCCCCUCGCCUCUCAUAUUUAUAGCACCUCCCCAUACCACUUAUGCCUCAGAGGGAGGCCCAGCCCUGUUUAGGAACCUGCCCCUCUCAGACAGGGUCUUGCUGUAUAGCCCAGGAUGACCCUGAAUUCAUGCCCCUCCUGCUGUCUUCCAAGUGCUGGGCUCACAGGUGUGCACCAUCACACCCAGUCAAGGACCUCUUCCCAUCAUGCCUCCCUGCCCUGAUCCACUCUUUCCUGAAGGUGUUGUUAGACCCUCCUCUUUGGGGAUAGGAGUAGGGUAGGGAUGUCACAGGGGUGGCACGGACAAGCGACGCCCUUAUCAAAUUGCAAAGGUUAAGGUUUGGGAUCACCAAGUGUUCAUGGGUCCUGGUUCUAAGGACUUGGCCUGAGCAAGUUCAUCUGGCUCUUGCAAAUGACCCACCAGGCGAUGGAGAAAACUGAAGCACAGAAAGGUUUAAACAGCUUGCCGGAGGCCACGUAGCACCUAACUCUAGAGUCGAUUGAUUCUCCUGGGUCCUGGACUAAACAUAGUGCAUAGACCAUAGAUCCUCAUGCAAGUGGACGUCUCUUAUUCAUUUCCUGGCCUGAGGAUCACUCACCAUCUCUAGUAGAGUGGCAGGGGUGGGAGUAGAUGGGAAUAGGUGGCUACUCAUGAACCCAGCCUGCUGGGCACAUUAGUUCUCAUUUUCAGAUGGGCUUCCUGGAGGAGGAGGCACUUGUCUGUAUAACACAAUGACAUUCUUGUUAUCACUAUCCUCAGAGAGAAGGUUCUGACUCCUCAUGCUUAGACCCCUCAAGGAAGUUCCCAGGCCUGUGGCUGAUACCUGCAGGCAGAGCAGGGUACAAGUCACAGACGGGGCACAUAGGGCAAGCACCUUUACAAAGGGAAUAGAGGCCCAGGAAAGGGCAUUAUGUAUGUAGUCUCUGUAGGUGGGUGACAGUGGAUGGGACCAUGAUGACAGUGGUGGUGGUGGGGGCUUAAUCCCUUGUUCCAUUUCAAACUCUGCUUACUCUCAUACCAACCAGUUCUUUUCUUUUUCUUUAAAACUUCUUUUUAGCUUUAUUUAUUUCAUGGGUACACGUGUUUGCCUGCAUCUAUGCCCCCUAUGCACUGCAAGUGUCUGUGGAGGCCAGAAGAGGGUGUUAGAUCCCCUGAAAAAAAUCUAGUUACAGCGUGGGUGCUGCUGUCAUGAGUGCUGGGAAUGGAACCUGUGUCCUCUGGAAGAGCAGCCAGUUCUCUUAGCUAUGGAGCCGUCCCUCCCAAAACCCACAAUCCCAUAUGCCUUUUCAAGGAUUGGUUUGAGGACUUUGAGUCACCUGUGCCUUGAUCACUUCCAGUUCCAAAGGCUGGCAAGAGAGCCACCACCCUACUACUGCCUGGGGUUUUGUUCUGUGUAGUUCUGUGCCAGGCAUGGUACACGCUUGCUCAUUCAACAACCGUGUGCUUGUCACCUGCUCCACGAUAGCCAUCAGCAGCCUCUUUAAGAGUGGAGUCCUGGCUGGGAGCAUUCUGCGUGAGCAUAAAAGGACUGGUACUAGAUGCGGGGUCUGUGAACGUGGGGGCAAUCCUCCCUAGAAUUCGUCACCCGCUGCCUCUCCUUGCACACAUUCCUUGACUACCCAGAUCGAGCCACAGGCCCAUGUCUGGGGCUCACAUCUACAUUGGUACCCUGACACGGUACAAGAGCAGUUUGAACACUGUCUUGUCUUUCUGUGCCUUUUAACUAAGCCCUGGGAGCUAAAUCCUAACCUCAGCCUCAGAGGAAGCUACAGGCCAGCCACUUUCGGCAUCCCAGAAUGAAGAAGGGAGGUGUCAGGCUGCCGGCUGUGUCCUUAGCCAGGAAAUUGAUGGGCGACCCCGAUUUAAUUAGCUUUUCCUUGUGAUGAUUUGGAGAAGGUUGUAAUUAGCUUGGGGGCCCAGAGGGAGAGGCCUGGGUGGUGGAGCCGGGUAGGAGCAGGUGGCAAAGGAAGGUGUGGGCUGGAUUGAAGAGUGGACCCCAGUUUUUCCAAGUAAGGUAGGUCAAAGAACCUGGCGACUUGUGGGAAGCAAGUCCCCUGCAGGUAGACCUGGUUGGGGUAGCUGUGGGCUCUUGGCUGGCCUUUGUGGGGAGUUUGGGGGGGGUCACAUUGGAUCAAGUUACAUAUGUCUGUAGCCUCCCCAGGACACAUAGCAUGGUGGCCUAGAGUGUGGCAUUUAGGCUACAUUAUGACAGAUAAACCUUUGGAAGCCCCUGUAGAUGGCUGAGGACAUUCCCCAUGACACCAUGCUAAUGAAAAGGGGGACUCUGAUUCUAGUUCGAAGGAGGAAUAUCCCAGGGUAAGCUCUGCACUGCAUGUUGGGUUAGUAGCCAUUAGCCAGACACUGGUUGAGGGUUUGCCCAAGACCCUGGCCAGUCUGAGCCUGCAAGGCAGCGAGUCCAGGUGGGUGGGGCUGUAGUUUGAAGACGGCUUGCUCCUGUUCUUGCUGGUCCAUACAAUGUGGCAGGUGGAAUCUAAUGGAAAGUGCUGGGUCACAGGAGUGGGGUCCCAAAGUAAGCCUCAGUGCCAGGGUGGCUCACCUCCAGGGUGGGCACUUUGUCACCCGAGAGCUAAAGUCACUGGGGUACCAGCUCUAGAAAACCAGCUUUGGUGCCACACCAGCAUUUGCUCCUGCAUCUUGCAGAUCUUCACCGUGUGUCAGAGACCAUUUGUCAUUUUGCCUUUCCCAGAGCCCCACAGGAGACAGUGUUGUUCUGCCCAUUGAUUGAAGAAGAAACUGAGGGGCAGAGAGGAGGGGUCAUGCCCAAGACACCAGCUAGGGCGGGCUAGCUGGAUUUGAACCUGGGAGCUGUGGUAGCAGACCUCCCUGUUCUUGUACACUUUUCUGGGGGCAAAACAUGAGAAUUAGGGGAUGGGCAGAACAGGAAAUGUGGGGGCUAAACUCAGCUCGGUGGCCGUAGGCUGGGUGGCCGCUGUGAGCCAGGCCUUCCAGAUUCAGAGGCCUUGCCUGUCCCCAGCCACAUAUUUUCUGUUGGCUUUCCCGACCAGUUCUUUCUUCCCGAUUUCUCAGUUGAGCUGCUCCCUGGUGUCCCUUACUAGGUUUCUACCUUGUGCCUGCCUGCAUCCAGGUUGCCCAAGCCUGGGACCUGGACCUGUUUUCACACAUGCUUGCAUAUCUGGCCACCAUUUCUCAAUUGCUUAUCCUUCUCAUCAUAACAACCUCAGAGAGGUUAUGCAGUUGGCUCAGGGUCACACAGCUAGGACAUAAAAGACAUGGAAUUUAUCCUGUAUCUCUUAAGUCCCUAGCCCGAGGUCCUCUCUGAUACCUUGCCACCUCAUGACUGUCAUGUCUACAUGUCUUCUGUCUCAUGGUCAUUGUGACAUAAGGCCCUUGCUUGGUGGUAGCCCUUGUUGAAGCCAGCACUGCACUUUACCGGCUCCAGGGAGGAGAUCAAUCUGGAAACAAUCCAAGAAAAAGAUGUGGCCGACUUAAGCUCUGCAGCUCUUGCUUGCAAAACAUAGUGAAGCCCAAACAGAAGUAAGCCUGAGAAGGUCUCAACCCAACACUGCCUGCUGGUCAACUCACAGCUCAACAGCACAAUAUAGCAGCCUCCCACAGAGAGAGCAACAGAGUCACAUCUUGGGUACCAGAGAUCAUCAGAUGUACCGGAUCCUUCCUAGCCCCUCCUUCUCUUCAUCUGCCAGGAUGCUGCUGCUGACUUUCUAGGCUUGCUCUGAGUGCAAGCAUGAUAUAGGAAGGUCUAGAACAGGACUUGACACAAGAGAGGUGUGCCCUAGAUGGAAGAUGAAGCCAAGCUUUCAAAGGGAAGGUUACAAACAUGCAUGAAGGGAGGGUAGAAAAGUUGGUGUGGAGAGUCUCAAAAGGGCUGGUGCAAUGGCAGGGGCUGGUGAUCACACGAGGUGAGAAAAUGGAAGUGCCAGCAGGUUAAAUGGGAACCAAGAGCCAAUAUUAACAGUUCCUCCCUGCCAGGCCGCUUUGGCCAGCGUUGACUGUGGAUAUGGUGGUCUGGUUACGGGGAAGCUUGCGUGACCUAGGAUGGGCAGAGGGCGUGAAGACAUUUCCUACUGGCUCCACUGAUCUGUCACACACAGUGAGGUGCACACAUUUCUCUCCGAACCUCAGUUUCCCCUUUUCUCUCUGCCAUGGCACAAAAUGAGAGAAAGCAAAUUGGCAGAGCCAGGCUGGAGUAGCAACCACAAAUGGCCCGUUUGCAAGAACAGCUUAAAAUACAUUUGUUUGUUUUGCUUGGAGCUUAAAAUAAAAUUGAAUUAAAUGCCAAUGUUGAAAAAUUGGAGGACCGUGCCUAGGAAUUCAGAGUGCUGGCUUCUCCCAGGAUGCUGAGGCUGUCUACCCUGGAAGCUGGCUGGGGGUAAGAGGAGGCCACAGGGAUGGACGGCUAUUCUCUCGGGUCCACUCCAGCCUUCCUUCAGGCAGAGCAUCUACCUGGACACGGGAUGUGGAGAGAUGAUACUGCCUGGGCCUCUCUUCUGAUUGUGGGUGCCCCUUCCCAUUUGCACAACAAACAUUCAUCCCAACAAGGCUUAUUCAAGAGCAGCAGGAGGAACACUAGGCACUGUGUACCCUAUACCGACCCAUAUGGGGUUCCUGACCCUUGUGAAGUGAGCAGCACCUGGGUAUCACAUAGGGAUCAUGGAUGGGGACACUGGGGCACAGACAGGCUAACUCACUUCUUGAGGUCACAUGACCAGCAAGUGGGAGGAGGAUUGGGAUGUGGAUGCCAGCAGCCUGUCACUCUUAAAUAUAUGUCACACCAAAGAACAGUGCUCCCCUUUUCUGGGGCAGGCACUCCCAAGGCUCACCCUCCCCUUCUCAGCUGGAUUACUUCUCUCCCUCACACACCCAUCGACUCUUGCUGUCUCCUUAGCAACAGAGGUGCAGGUACCACCCCACCCCAUCCGAAGGCGGGGAAACUGAGGCACAGAGAGGUUUAAAGGGACUUGUUCUUGCAGCAUGGCCAGAGUAGCGGAGCGGCAGAGCCAGGGCGUGGCCUUGGAUCCCUAGCUUUUGUGGCUGAGCUCUUGGUAGCCUGGAACUCCUGUGUGCUCACAGCUAGUCAGUUGGCAUCCUUCCUCGUCCACCCAUCUGACACUCAAGUGUAUCCCAGACCGGCCACUCGACACCAGACAUAGUGACAUAGAGACACCUCUAGUGGCUCCUGGACGCAACUGCAUGGAACCCAACUGGAGGGGAAGGUGACACACAUCCCCAGAAUAUGCCUGGUGGGUCUGGGGCCAGGCAGAGAAUUGGCUUCCAAGCCACUGCCCUGGGGAGCUCAGGAGGCUGAGGCAGAGGGAAACCGAUGUGCUUGGCCAUUUGUUUCAGGAUGACCAUGAGAAGCAGCUGUGGAUCAGGAGAUCCCUGCCCCAUUCUUCCCUCAGCCAUCACAGCAAGGACCAGCCUUCUGGCUUGAAGUCCUGAGCAAGUGCUCCU